rnacentral:rRNA from 1 species
UACGGUAGGGUGCAAGCGUUAUCCGGAAUUAUUGGGCGUAAAGAGCUCGUAGGCGGUCUGUCGCGUCUGCUGUGAAAUCUGGGGGCUCAACCCCCAGCCUGCAGUGGGUACGGGCAGACUAGAGUGCGGUAGGGGAGAUUGGAACUCCUGGUGUAGCGGUGGAAUGCGCAGAUAUCAGGAAGAACACCGAUGGCGAAGGCCAGAAUCUCUGGGCCGUAACUGACGCUGGAGGAG